AAUUAGUCGAGUAUUGACUUGGUUAAUUAAUUAGCUCUGUGUGCGUGUAUAAAUUAAGAUGGAAAGGAUAGGAUGAUUAGGGUAAGUAUAGUGAUUAGUAGAAGAAUAUUAAAGAUGGCAAGGACCCUGCCAGUUGGCGGGGAGGAGGCCGGUAUGAUUUCUGGCGGCGGGCUUAAUCUGUUUCUGGUUUUCCAAGUCUUGGUGGGGUUCUGGAUCUUAUCCGCAGUUGUUUUCGCCUGUGCAGAUGGCCAUGGAAACCACCUCGCCAAGAAGAAGCACUCAACUAGCGGCGGCUGUGGUGGCGGAGGUUGCGGUGGCGGCGGCUGCGGUGGUUGUGGUGGUUAAUUCACUUCCAACGAACUACUGCAUGUAUCUACAUAUAUUGUAUACAUAAAAUAGUCGUGUGUGUGUGUGUAUAUGUAUUAAAAUAAAAUCAUCUCCUUCCUUUAAUGCAAGAGUUGUGUAUGAUGUGUGUACUUUUGUUAAGAAAUUUAUGUAAUUCAUAAUUUGUAAUUUAAAAUAACAUCUUUUUAAUUAAAUAAUACAUAUAUACUAAUCAUAAUUAUUAAUUAAGC
rnacentral:lncRNA from 1 species